rnacentral:misc_RNA from 1 species
UGGCUCUCGCAUCGAUGAAGAACGCAGCGAAAUGCGAUAAGUAAUGUGAAUUGCAGAAUUCAGUGAAUCAUCGAAUCUUUGAACGCACCUUGCGCCCUUUGGCUAUUCCGAAGGGCAUGCCUGUUUGAGUAUCAUGAACACCUGUUUGAUCUCAAUCAGGUAGGACUACCCGCUGA